UAGGGAAUCUUCCGCAAUGGGCGAAAGCCUGACGGAGCAACGCCGCGUGAGUGAUGAAGGUCUUCGGAUCGUAAAACUCUGUUAUUAGGGAAGAACAAAUGUGUAAGUAACUAUGCACGUCUUGACGGUACCUAAUCAGAAAGCCACGGCUAACUACGUGCCAGCAGCCGCGGUAAUACGUAGGUGGCAAGCGUUAUCCGGAAUUAUUGGGCGUAAAGCGCGCGUAGGCGGUUUUUUAAGUCUGAUGUGAAAGCCCACGGCUCAACCGUGGAAGGUCAUUUGAAACUGGAAAACUUGAGUGCAGAAGAGGAAAGUGGAAUUCCAUGUGUAGCGGUGAAAUGCGCAGAGAUAUGGGGGAACACCAGUGGCGAAGGCGACUUUCUGGUCUGUAACUGACGCUGAUGUGCGAAAGCGUGGGGAUCAAACAGG
rnacentral:rRNA from 1 species